rnacentral:tRNA from 1 species
ACCCCAGUGGCCUAAUGGAUAAGGCACUGGCCUCCUAACCCAGGGAUUGUGGGUUUGUGUCCUAUCUGGGGUG